GCUUCCUGCAAUGUUCUCUAACGAUGUGUAUUGUGUGGGUCUUGCAUUUUUCAUAGGUUCGUCUUUUGUUCUUUUUUUCCCAAAUUAAUUGUUUCUUGCUCCCUUACGUUUAUGCCCUUUGGCAUCUGAAUUUUGUAUGAACAGUGGAAGGCCUUUUAGGGAAGAUAAGUACUAUGGAUGUUAUUUUAGGUGGGGAGGAAUAAUCAGAGUCUUGAAAAAGAAUUCUCUUGCAUAAGCUUCAGCCGUUGGUAUAAAAAUUGAAUCUUUCUCAAUAAAAGCCAACUUUGACACCAUCUUCGUUGCAACGUACAGUGAUCCCUCUAACAGAUCCCCGCACGCGAAGUCCAUCGCCACCACCUUCAUACACGCGUUCAGAUUCUUUACCUUGAUUUCACGCGCAACGACUUCUAGCUUCUACAAGGUUAUGCUGACGAGGAUGUGGUUGAGCUCUUGCUCUACCAACUGGCAGGUGAAGGCCUUUCCAAUGUCGUUAGUGGCUCCGGUGACCACAGCCCAAGAACCGAUCUGUUCAGAGCUUGGUUUCAAGGUCAACAUUUUCCUCAAGUGUAAGGGUUUGCCUCACAAGUGAUAAGGGUCUGACACGUUUCAGAAAAAAGGGAAAAUUGAUGUGG
rnacentral:sRNA from 1 species